rnacentral:misc_RNA from 1 species
UAUUUGCAUGAAAGUGGAAUUCAAAAAGUUCCAAAGAAAUACAUUUUUCCUAUUUCAGAAAGACCAAAUUGUUAUACUAUAAAUGAAAAUCCACAAGUUGCUAGCAAACACAAUCUUAAGUUGCCUGUCAUAGAUUUUUCUCAACUCUAUGGUCCUAAUAGAGCUCAAGUUCUUGAUUCACUCUCCUAUGCCUGUGAAAACUAUGGAUUUUUUCAGUUGAUAAACCAUGGGAUUCCAGAAGAGGUAAUAAAAAAUAUGGUGGAUGUUGGAGGAAGGUUUUUUGAUCUUCCAUUAGUAGAAAGGGAAAAGUACAUGACAAAAGACAUGACAACACCAGUUAGAUAUGGGACAAGUUUUAAUCAAACAAAAGAUGGUGUCUUUUGUUGGAGGGACUUUCUCAAGCUUGUUUGUGACCCUCUUCCUCAAGUCCUUCCUCAUUGGCCUUCUUCUCCUUCUGAUUUUAGGGAAAUGGCAGUUACAUACUCUAAAGAGACCAAAAUCUUAUUUAUAAAGUUAGUGGAAGCCAUCCUAGAAAGUCUUGGAAUUAAUGUUGCAACAAAAAAACAAGACACAACAAAAUGAUGAAGAAAUAAUGUUAAAAGAAUUUGAAGAUGGAAGCCAGCUAAUGGCUGUUAAUUUUUAUCCACCUUGUCCUAAUCCUGAUUUGACACUUGGAAUGCCACCUCAUUCUGAUUAUGGAUUUUUAACUCUUCUACUCCAAGAUGAAGUUGAAGGUUUACAAGUUAAGUCCAAUGAUGAUUGGGUCACUAUUCAACCUAUCCCUAAUGCUUUUGUGGUCAAUGUUGGUGACCACCUCGAGAUAUUUAG